AGCAGCCGCGGUAAUUCCAGCUCCAAUAGCGUAUAUUAAAGUUGUUGCAGUUAAAAAGCUCGUAGUUGAACUUCGGGGUCUACCCAUUGGUCAGGCUUAAUUGUCUGCACUGGUGAGAUGGAUCUCUACCUUCUGAGGAACUUUCAUGCCAUUUAUUUGGUGUGAUGGGAAAUCAGGACUGUUACUUUGAAAAAAUUAGAGUGUUUAAAGCAGACUAUCGUCUGAAUACAUUAGCAUGGAAUAAUGAAAUAGGACGGACUGAUUCUAUUUCGUUGGUUUCUAGGAUCACCGUAAUGAUUAAUAGGGAUAGUUGGGGGCAGUUAGUAUUCAAUUGUCAGAGGUGAAAUUCUUGGAUUUAUUGAAGACUAACUACUGCGAAAGCAUUUGCCAAGGAUGUUUUCAUUAAUCAAGAACGAAAGUUAGGGGAUCGAAGACGAUCAGAGACCGUCGUAGUCUUAACCAUAAACUAUGCCGACUAGGGAUCGGACGAAGUUAAUUUUANAAUGACGCGUUC
rnacentral:rRNA from 1 species